ACCGCACACGAGUGGCGCAUCCACACGGAGUGUUUUCUUUUGCUGUUACGAGCUCUCUCGCUGGGUGACAGGAAAUGAGCACAGGCCGACUCAGGCUCUCGCACCUACAGUAGACCCGGCGGUCAACCUCACCUCCGGCUGCUGCAAACUCGGGGCGUGGUCGAGGCGGACGGCGGAGCUGAGGUACUCGAUGCGGUUCCGGGCGGUGGCCUCAAAGAUGCUCUCCGCCCGCCCGAUGUCCUCCAGGCUCGGGUCGAAGAGUCUCUGUUCGAUAAGGCCAGGCCCCGAGUCCGCGGCGAGGUGCUGCCCCAGUUCCCGCAGCGGGUACACUACCUUCGUUAGCUGUUUCUGUGGCAGCCUUAGCACUUCUGCGAAGGCAGGGGACGUGCUGUAAACCCGGGUCCAAGGCCCCAGUGCUGGCGCUUUCUCAAGGAGCCUUCCCAUUCUAUGACUCAACCUAGCCGCUGCCAUUUUCCUCUCCCAGAAUCCUCGCGACUGGAUUUUAUUAGUAGGGUCUGGACAGCGCCAGACAGAAAGCUCGCUGCCGCAGCGCCUGCUGGGAAUUGUAGUUUUCUAGGGUCUCCUCACCUGCUCAAGCUUCUCACCACCUCCGGGCAGAAAGGGGGAAACCCCACUGACUUUCUUUAACACCUUGGCUUUACCAACUAUGUAUCAGAUUGGCGUGUUCUGGUCUUCAGCGGUUUCCAGAUGCGAAAAACUUACCUUGUCCUGUGAUCUUUGAGUCUCAAGGGAAGGAACCAUAGGGACAAACUAGUGGAUUCCAAGCCCGCUUUGCCUUCUGUUUCCGGUCGUUUUAUCGUCGAUUGACAUUUAUCAUAAGUUCACGUCACCGAGAAAAACACGUUUGCAAAAUUAAAUAAGCUGGUGAGAAAUGUGGUUGGAAUUGCAACUCGUUUUCAGAGAAGGGACGGUAUCUCUCUGACAGGCAGAGCGUUGGAGCAGCAGUUGAGAACUGACAAAGAUCCAUAAACCAGAAACAGAACUGGGAACAACUGGAGUCCUUUGAAGCCCCCAAAUACACACCCCCUUCCUCCAAUACAGUCAUACCUUCUAAUCCUACAAGGCCCCACUUUCCAACCCUUUCCAAACAGUUCCCUAAACUCGGGAGCAACUAUUCAAAUGGCUCAUGGGAGCCAUUCUCAUUUAAACCACCACAAGCAUUUAAUCAUUCCGUGCCCUGUCACUCCAUUAUUUUCUUUUUAAAGCAUCUGCAUAUAGCAGGCACAUAAACUUUAGAGUCAACAUAUGCUGUGUUUUCCAUGGACACUUGUAAUCAAACUCUUCCCUAGUCUCUACUGUAGGCAGAAGAUCAAAGAGCCAGAGCCAGGUUGACUCCAUGACAGGCUGUAAACUGGCAGUUUGGGAGUCUAGGCCUAUUUCUGUUUCCCAGAAAUGAGGACCCAGAUUCAGGAGCCCAUGGCCAUCCAACCACAGCUGCAGACAGCCAAUCCAAGGGUGCCUUACCACCUUGGAAAGUCCCCAGAGCCCUAACAAAUCACAAAGGACUCAUAUCCCUGGAGAUAGAGCCAACUAAUC
rnacentral:lncRNA from 1 species